rnacentral:rRNA from 2 species
GGGGGAUAUUGGACAAUGGACGAAAGUCUGAUCCAGCGACGCCGCGUGGAGGAAGAAGUCCUUCGGGAUGUAAACUCAUGAAGAUAACGAAUUAGACGGAAGGGGAACCUUCCGGGAGAAGGUAAUUAGUGAAAAGCCCCGGCUAACUACGUGCCAGCAGCCGCGGUAAUACGUAGGGGGCUAGCGUUAUCCGGAUUUACUGGGCGUAAAGGGUGCGUAGGUGGUUUCUUAAGUCAGGAGUGAAAGGCUACGGCUCAACCGUAGUAAGCUCUUGAAACUGGGAAACUUGAGUGCAGGAGAGGAACGUGGAAUUCCUAGUGUAGCGGUGAAAUGCGUCGAUAUUAGGAGGAACACCAGUAGCGAAGGCGGCUUUCUGGACUGUAACUGACACUGAGGCACGAAAGCGUGGGGAGCAAACA